rnacentral:rRNA from 1 species
UACGAAGGGGGCUAGCGUUGUUCGGAAUUACUGGGCGUAAGGGCUCGUAGGCGGCCAACUAAGUCGGACGUGAAAUCCCUCGGCUUAACCGGGGAACUGCGUCCGAUACUGGAUGGCUUGAGUUCGGGAGAGGGAUGCGGAAUUCCAGGUGUAGCGGUGAAAUGCGUAGAUAUCUGGAGGAACACCGGUGGCGAAGGCGGCAUCCUGGACCGACACUGACGCUGAGGAGCGAAAGCCAGGGGAGCAAACAGG